GAUGAACGCUGGCGGCGUGCUUAACACAUGCAAGUCGAACGGAAAGGCCCUAGCUUGCUGGGGUACUCGAGUGGCGAACGGGUGAGUAACACGUGGGUAACCUGCCCUGCACUUUGGGAUAAGUUUAGGAAACUGGGGCUAAUACCGGAUAGGAGCACAUCUUGGAUGGUGUGGUGGGGAGCUUUUCGGCGGGUGCGGAUGGGGUCGCGGAUGAUCAUCUUGGUGGUGGGAUGGUGGACUACCAAGGCUUCGGCGGGUCGCCGGCAUGUGAGGGGGUACGGCCACAUUGGGACUGAGAUACGGCCCAGACUCCUACGGGAGGCAGCAGUGGGGAAUAUUGCACAAUGGGCGCAAGCCUGAUGCAGCGACGCCGCGUGGGGGAUGACGGCCUUCGGGUUGUAAACUGCUUUCGCUUGGGACGAAGCGCGAGUGACGGUACCGGGAGAAGAAGCACCGGCUAACUACGUG
rnacentral:rRNA from 1 species